GCCCGGCUAGCUCAGUCGGUAGAGCAUGAGACUUUUAAUUACAGGGUCAUGGAUUCGAGCCCCACGUUGGGCA
rnacentral:tRNA from 1 species